AUACGGAGGGUGCAAGCGUUAAGCGGAAUUACUGGGCGUAAAGCGUGCGUAGGUGGUUUGUUAAGUCAGAUGUGAAAGCCCCGGGCUCAACCUGGGAACUGCAUUUGAAACUGGCAUACUAGAGUAUAGGAGAGGAAAGUGGAAUUUCAGGUGUAGCGGUGAAAUGCGUAGAUAUCUGAAGGAACAUCAAUGGCGAAGGCAGCUUUCUGGACUAAUACUGACACUGAGGUACGAAAGCGUGGGUAGCAAACAGGAUUAGAAACCCUAGUAGUCC
rnacentral:rRNA from 1 species